rnacentral:sRNA from 1 species
AUGAACAUGAGGACCAUCAUAUCCCUCAUCCCAGAUACAUGAUCUGUACUGUCUCCUCCUCUCUAGCUUCUCUCCUCUCCCUGCUGUGCCCCUUGCUUUGUUGCUUGGUCAAUUAGAGCUAAGCAGCAAGCUAGCUUCCUGGAAGCAAGGCCGGCGCCUGGCUGGGACAAGAACCACAGGAACCACAGCUGACUGAUUGAUCAAUCAAUCAAUCUUCUGCUGCCCUGCUGCCUCACAGCCUCAGCAAGACAGUACGUACAGAUCAAUUUUGGCCCUCUUGAGGCUCCGGCCGGUCGCCGACUCGCCGUCGUCGAAGGUGCUCUCCGGCCGGCGGAGUUAACAUUGAGCUUGAUUUCAAGCCGCGCUCCGAUCCGACCGGCAAAGCGCCGAAGCUGCCUUCCGUUUGUUUCACUCUGGUCUCUGGGGGCUCGCCAUCAGCCAUCCGUACCGAGCUGUAGGUAUGAACAGAGGAGAUAUCCUGUUCCCUGUAUAUGCAUACUAUUUCGAUACAGUAGUUUUCUCGACAUGAGAUUUCAUGCAUGCAGAAUUUCACGCUCGAAGUUACCUAAUUAGAAGUAAUCCAUACUCUCGAAACAACCUAUUUAAGUAGCACUACUAUGUAGGAACAGAAUAACUGACGUCGUUGCCCGGGCGUGUCAGUUAACAAACGACAAAGAUGUGCAACGCACAGCCUGCAAGUUACAUAAGCAUCCGCUCGUUCAGUUAAGCUGGCAGAUCGACCACACACUAGCUUUGAUUUGCGCUAACAGUGUAUCAGAUCUAACUAGCUCUUGGUGUAAUAAGAUGAACUGUAGAGCGAAGCGGAUACGGACAGUGUAAUUAUGAGGCUCGAGACAUCUUCCUCUCCCGUCCCUGUCUGAACAUCAAUGCCGCUCACCAGCGCCACUGUUUCUUGAUGCUGAUUACGGAUUUGUAAUUCCAUCGAUCACGCAUGCGCGCGCUCUUCUUGUAAUUAUCUAGAGAGAUUAAUUGCUCGUCUUGAUCGGUGUCUGAUU